UCCGUAGGUGACCUGCGGAGGGAUCAUUACAAGUGACCCCGGUCUAACCACCGGGAUGUUCAUAACCCUUUGUUGUCCGACUCUGUUGCCUCCGGGGCGACCCUGCCUUCGGGCGGGGGCUCCGGGUGGACACUUCAAACUCUUGCGUAACUUUGCAGUCUGAGUAAACUUAAUUAAUAAAUUAAAACUUUUAACAACGGAUCUCUUGGUUCUGGCAUCGAUGAAGAACGCAGCGAAAUGCGAUAAGUAAUGUGAAUUGCAGAAUUCAGUGAAUCAUCGAAUCUUUGAACGCACAUUGCGCCCCCUGGUAUUCCGGGGGGCAUGCCUGUUCGAGCGUCAUUUCACCACUCAAGCCUCGCUUGGUAUUGGGCAACGCGGUCCGCCGCGUGCCUCAAAUCGACCGGCUGGGUCUUCUGUCCCCUAAGCGUUGUGGAAACUAUUCGCUAAAGGGUGCUCGGGAGGCUACGCCGUAAAACAAACCCAUUUCUAAGGUUGACCUCGGAUCAGGUAGGGAUACCCGCUGAACUUAAGCAUAUCAAUAAGCGGAGGA
rnacentral:rRNA from 1 species